AUGCUGUACUAAUGUAUUCUCAGUUGUGUAUUUUCAGGGGUUCAGAUGAGGGAGGAGGACAGAAGAGGAACUUUGGCGGCCUAAAGAAGAAGAGGACAUUUAUGCGCAGCUAUGAGUAGAAAGUAACAUUGGUCUGAGUGGAAUAACAUCCUUGUAUGUAAGGAGGAGGGAGGGAGCAGGGUGUGGAAAUAGCUGCAAACAAACAGAGAAGAGAAGAAAGCAGUUUAGAUGACUUUCAGCCACCACUGAAGACGAAACCCGCCACCCAUUUAACUGCGGUCAUCCUUGGAAGAUGCGUGGUAAGGAUGAUCUGCAACCACUGGUCUGGACGAGUCUCCACUCCCAUUCAAUUGCAGCAAAGAUUAGAAAAUGAGG